GGUGAAGAACGCAGCGAAAUGCGAUAAGUAGUGUGAAUUGCAGAAUUCAGUGAAUCAUCGAAUCUUUGAACGCACAUUGCGCCCUUUGGUAUUCCUUAGGGCAUGCCUGUUCGAGCGUCAUUUAAACCUUCAAGCUAAGCUUGGUGUUGGGUGACUGUCCGCUUCACGGCGGACUCGCCUCAAAAUUAUUGGCGGCCGGUACAUUGGCUUCGAGCGCAGCAGAAACGCGAACUCGGGCCCGUCGUAUUGGCUCCCAGAAGCUAUCUUCACAAUUUUGACCUCGGAUCAGGUAGGGAUACCCGCUGAACUUAAGCAUAUCAAUAAGCGGAGGA
rnacentral:misc_RNA from 1 species